UUUCUUGUCUUGAGUAUAAAUUCACGACACUUCAUCAAAGCAAUCUUCAUUAUUUUAUAAAUUGUUAUUUCGUUUAUCCACUCGUUUGAUCCAGUUUACUCAUUUGUGCAUUGAAAAUGCAACACACUAGCUUCAACAAUAGCUGAGCUAUUAUGUUAGCAGCUCUACUUGGAAAAGCUGCGAUGUUACUCCACGUGUUUACCUUGGUAUAGAUGUUUGAACAUAUUCAUGAAUCCUUCAGAUAUCAAUGACCUUAGAUGGCUGACUUGGACUUCUGUUGGCAUAUUAAGGAAGCUAAAAUAUAGUGAUGGUCGGUGUCAAAGCUAUGAUUUUGAGAUUCCUAGUAAAACCUCUCCAUUGGGUGGACUAAAACAUGGUAUCGAAGUCAAUAAUUGUAUUGUUGAGUGCCUCAACUCUUACCAGCUAUUACAACCGUAAUGAUUAUGACUCGCGACAUGCUUGUUUAUUUAAAAUCAAUGUUGAUUAAAAAAUGAACAGCCCAAAUUAUAAAGCAAAAUGCUGUAGAUUAACCAUCCAAAGUCACAGAAAAAGUGAAACUAUGAAUUAAAUUUAAAUUAUUUACACUGACUA